rnacentral:rRNA from 1 species
CACGUAGGGUGCGAGCGUUGUCCGGAAUUAUUGGGCGUAAAGAGCUCGUAGGCGGUCCGUCACGUUGGGUGUGAAAUUCCAGGGCUCAACCCUGGACCUGCAUUCGAUACGGGCGGACUAGAGUUCGGUAGGGGAGACUGGAAUUCCUGGUGUAGCGGUGAAAUGCGCAGAUAUCAGGAGGAACACCGGUGGCGAAGGCGGGUCUCUGGGCCGAUACUGACGCUGAGGAGCGAAAGCGUGGGGAGCGAACAGG